AGAUUAAGUUAUUAAGGGCGCACGGUGGAUGCCUUGGCACUAGAAGCCGAUGAAGGACGUUACUAACGACGAUAUGCUUUGGGGAGCUGUAAGUAAGCUUUGAUCCAGAGAUUUCCGAAUGGGGAAACCCAGCAUGAGUUAUGUCAUGUUAUCGAUAUGUGAAUACAUAGCAUAUCAGAAGGCACACCCGGAGAACUGAAACAUCUUAGUACCCGGAGGAAGAGAAAGAAAAUUCGAUUCCCUUAGUAGCGGCGAGCGAAACGGGAAGAGCCCAAACCAAAAAGCUUGCUUGUUGGGGUUGUAGGACACUCUAUACGGAGUUACAAAGGACGACAUUAGACGAAUCAUCUGGAAAGAUGAAUCAAAGAAGGUAAUAAUCCUGUAGUCGAAAAUGUUGUCUCUCUUGAGUGGAUCCUGAGUACGACGGAGCACGUGAAAUUCCGUCGGAAUCUGGGAGGACCAUCUCCUAAGGCUAAAUACUCUCUAGUGACCGAUAGUGAACCAGUACCGUGAGGGAAAGGUGAAAAGCACCCCGGAAGGGGAGUGAAAUAGAACCUGAAACCGUGUGCUUACAAGUAGUCAGAGCCCGUUAAUGGGUGAUGGCGUGCCUUUUGUAGAAUGAACCGGCGAGUUACGAUUUGAUGCAAGGUUAAGCAGUAAAUGUGGAGCCGUAGCGAAAGCGAGUCUGAAUAGGGCGUUUAGUAUUUGGUCGUAGACCCGAAACCAGGUGAUCUACCCUUGGUCAGGUUGAAGUUCAGGUAACACUGAAUGGAGGACCGAACCGACUUACGUUGAAAAGUGAGCGGAUGAACUGAGGGUAGCGGAGAAAUUCCAAUCGAACCUGGAGAUAGCUGGUUCUCUCCGAAAUAGCUUUAGGGCUAGCCUCAAGUGAUGAUUAUUGGAGGUAGAGCACUGUUUGGACGAGGGGCCCCUCUCGGGUUACCGAAUUCAGACAAACUCCGAAUGCCAAUUAAUUUAACUUGGGAGUCAGAACAUGGGUGAUAAGGUCCGUGUUCGAAAGGGAAACAGCCCAGACCACCAGCUAAGGUCCCAAAAUAUAUGUUAAGUGGAAAAGGAUGUGGCGUUGCCCAGACAACUAGGAUGUUGGCUUAGAAGCAGCCAUCAUUUAAAGAGUGCGUAAUAGCUCACUAGUCGAGUGACACUGCGCCGAAAAUGUACCGGGGCUAAACAUAUUACCGAAGCUGUGGAUUGUCCUUUGGACAAUGGUAGGAGAGCGUUCUAAGGGCGUUGAAGCAUGAUCGUAAGGACAUGUGGAGCGCUUAGAAGUGAGAAUGCCGGUGUGAGUAGCGAAAGACGGGUGAGAAUCCCGUCCACCGAUUGACUAAGGUUUCCAGAGGAAGGCUCGUCCGCUCUGGGUUAGUCGGGUCCUAAGCUGAGGCCGACAGGCGUAGGCGAUGGAUAACAGGUUGAUAUUCCUGUACCACCUAUAAUCGUUUUAAUCGAUGGGGGGACGCAGUAGGAUAGGCGAAGCGUGCGAUUGGAUUGCACGUCUAAGCAAUAAGGCUGAGUAUUAGGCAAAUCCGGUACUCGUUAAGGCUGAGCUGUGAUGGGGAGAAGACAUUGUGUCUUCGAGUCGUUGAUUUCACACUGCCGAGAAAAGCCUCUAGAUAGAAAAUAGGUGCCCGUACCGCAAACCGACACAGGUAGUCAAGAUGAGAAUUCUAAGGUGAGCGAGCGAACUCUCGUUAAGGAACUCGGCAAAAUGACCCCGUAACUUCGGGAGAAGGGGUGCUCUUUAGGGUUAACGCCCAGAAGAGCCGCAGUGAAUAGGCCCAAGCGACUGUUUAUCAAAAACACAGGUCUCUGCUAAACCGUAAGGUGAUGUAUAGGGGCUGACGCCUGCCCGGUGCUGGAAGGUUAAGAGGAGUGGUUAGCUUCUGCGAAGCUACGAAUCGAAGCCCCAGUAAAC
rnacentral:rRNA from 1 species